UUUUUUAUUUUGAUUGACAUUAUUUGACAUCAGUGUUGUGAGAUUUAUCUGAUUUUAUUUAUAAUUUAGGCUUUAAGAGCCUUACAGCUAAAUAUUGUUUUACUGAUUGCAGGUUUUUCUGUUGUUGUUUUUAUUAUUGAAUAUUUACUGUGAUGUGCCUGCAAAACUUUUACAUGUUUUUGUCUAAAUUAGGUGAUUUUAUUAGAUCACAAAUGCCCCUUUUCCCUCGGCCUGGCUCGGCUCAGCUCAGCUUGGGUUAGCAGAACUGGACCUGGUUCUGUCAGAUGUUUCGGGUCUCAAAGCGUUCCUCGGUUCUCUCUGACCGGUGGAGCCUUUCAGAGAUGGAACACCUUCCAGAACCAGAACCAGAGGCGGUCCAAUUGUGUUUGGAUCACCCGGACCUCGAUCUGACUCUUCAAACCGUGGAUCUGUUUAAAGGGUCUACUUGGGUCAGAACCAGAACCUUGACCUUAAAUUCAAAGAGUCCAGCAAACAGACUGGAUCCCAGUUAGAACCGGAGCAGCUGGCGACUAUGAAUUCAAUAAGUAGUUAAGCGCAUGAAUCUCUUUUUUCCGACAACAUUGAAGGCAACACAAUGUAAGCUGCUGAGUAGCGGGAAGUGCGAGGUAGCAGCAUCCAUAUGGAUAUUAGUGACUCAUCCUGCGCCACUGCUGUUCAUUGGUCAGGAAAAUACCACAAUCACGCAAAGAAUCUGAAAAAUGGACGCAAUAUUUAGCGGCUAAUUCAACCGUAUGACAGCCAUAGAUAACAAGGUUCAAAGGUUUCACAUUUAACGGGUGAGGAAAAAGUUUUGAUUUAUUGAAACAGUGAGCUAGUUAUGCUAGGCUAACUUGCUAGCUGCUAUUGACUCUGAUAACCGUAACAUGCUGCGCAGUUCGCUGUGUUUUGGUUCCGUUAGCACUAAAACAGGACAAGCUGCUCACCAAGUCAUCAGUACAGCAGGAGUUUAAAUCAGCUAAUCUGUGUUCAGGCCAAAAUAGAUUAAUAAUCACAAUCUAGACAUCAAGCCUGACAGCAUAAUGUAACAGACUGGAUGUUCUGUUUGGUGGUUCUGAUACUUCUUUGUGUGGGAAACGUUAGUUUCUGGUAUUGAUUCCCCUGAUAGGUUUGAACGUAAUCUCUGCUUUAUCUGCUGGUAGAGCUGUUGUCUGUCGGUUGCUAUGGCAACAGGUCCGCGGAGCGUCAUGCCGACACAGAGAAAAAGCAGAAUAUAAAUGGUUUUGUCUAGUUUUGUUCUCCACCCGUUUAUCAGCUUUAUUAAUAAAAAUUAAACAAUUAAUAAAAAUUAAACAAGCGACAAAAACCGAAUUAAAAUAAAACAUUGACCAAUAGAAGGGAAAUUCAUCCUUUCUUGCAUCUUGACAGAACUAACAGAAACCAAACUGUUUAUAGAUUUGUAUCAAGGAGAAUUUCUGUUUCAGUUUUCUCAGUUUUAUUUUAAAUCAGACUUAAUAGAUAUAUCUGAUAAUCUAAUAUUUUCAUGACAGAUUUCUGCUCGUCCUGCAUUAGAAUAAAAUGGUUUUCUGGACACAAAGCAUCACUAAUAGAUACUGUCCAAUCCAGUAAUACAUAUCAAUUAGCAGGAAUAUGAAAGACGUAAAAAUAAUUAACUAUACUACAUUAAGAAAUUAUAUUUACUCCUUAGUGCUACAUGAAGCUCAUUUUGAAACGAUGCAAGUUAAAAACAAUAUUUU